rnacentral:tRNA from 1 species
CGCGGGAUAGUGUAGAGGUAACACGCAAGCCCCAUCAACUUGAACCGUAGGUUCGAUUCCUGCUCCCGCAA